CGGGCAGGUCUAGUGGUCCAGGAUGUUACCUUCUCAAGGUAAAUAUCAGGGGUUCGAAUCCCCUAAGCGCUACCA
rnacentral:tRNA from 1 species